rnacentral:rRNA from 1 species
CAGUCGCCGCGGGAAUACGGAGGGGGCUAGCGUUGUUCGGAAUUACUGGGCGUAAAGCGCACGUAGGCGGCUUUGUAAGUCAGAGGUGAAAGCCUGGAGCUCAACUCCAGAAUUGCCUUUGAGACUGCAUCGCUUGAACGUCGGAGAGGUGAGUGGAAUUCCGAGUGUAGAGGUGAAAUUCGUAGAUAUUCGGAAGAACACCAGUGGCGAAGGCGGCUCACUGGACGACUGUUGACGCUGAGGUGCGAAAGCGUGGGGAGCAAACAGGAUUAGAUACCCCCGUAGUCCCUGUCUCUUAUAC